AACGAACGCUGGCGGCAUGCCUAACACAUGCAAGUCGAACGAGACCUUCGGGUCUAGUGGCGCACGGGUGCGUAACACGUGGGAAUCUGCCCGUUGCUUCGGAAUAACAGUUAGAAAUGACUGCUAAUACCGGAUGAUGUCGAAAGACCAAAGAUUUAUCGGCAAAGGAUGAGCCCGCGUAGGAUUAGGUAGUUGGUGGGGUAAAGGCCUACCAAGCCGACGAUCCUUAGCCGGUCUGAGAGGAUGAUCAGCCACACUGGGACUGAGACACGGCCCAGACUCCUACGGGAGGCAGCAGUGGGGAAUAUUGGACAAUGGGCGAAAGCCUGAUCCAGCAAUGCCGCGUGAGUGAUGAAGGCCUUAGGGUUGUAAAGCUCUUUUACCAGGGAUGAUAAUGACAGUACCUGGAGAAUAAGCUCCGGCUAACUCCGUG
rnacentral:rRNA from 1 species